UUGUUGUUGUAGUUUACAAGUGUCACACAAGAUGGAACUGCAACAGGAGGCAGAACAGUCAUCAGGUGCAUACUGAACAGUCCUCUGGUCAGAAUAUGGCUUCAUUGUUAACUUCUCAAGAUCAUCCACGGC